GGACAUUCGUACUCAGCAAGAAAAUGAGGAUCGAAUGUGUAGCUCUUUGCCAUCAUGAUUAUGUCUUCAAUCCUCUCAUCCUGCAACGAGAGUACGUAUAUAACUUCUUAUGGACGUACAAUAAUUUAAUUCAUCUAUGGUUUAAAAACUCAGCUAUCGAUCAUAUAUGCAUACAGUUGCGCUAGGUGUCGAUGUACCUGGAUGCACACAACCGUUUUGCCACGCAAAAUGCUUGGAGUUUGAAAGUAGGGUUCAUGGAGUGUUCAAGAGAUGCACUUGUGAGACGAAGGAUCAUUGCGAUUGCUUUUUUCUUCCCAAACAGCACCUGCCCAGCACCAUCAAAGUCAUGGAAUUAGCUGCUGCAGACAAUGAUAAAGGAACUUUUAUUUGAAUAUACAGGAUUAAAACUGAUGCUUUUGAUGGAUAGGAUCAUAUUUCCCUUGCAUAUGUAAUUAUCUAUCCAUGACCUAUUUCCAUCGAAGUCUAAUAUAAUAAUUGUGUAUCUUUCGUAUACUUUUGUUCACCGAAUUGAAUGUAUCCAUCUCUUUGUUUACAUCGAAUAUAUUUCAG
rnacentral:lncRNA from 1 species